CAAUAGCGUAUAUUAAAGUUGUUGCAGUUAAAAAGCUCGUAGUUGGAUUUCGGGGCGGCCUGUCUGGUCCGUCGCGAGACGAGUACUGGUCAGCCGCCCUUCCUCUCGAAAGCCCCGACUGCUCUUAACUGCAGUGGUCGGGUAGUUCGGGACGUUUACUUUGAAAAAAUUAGAGUGUUCAAGGCAGGCUCUGGCCUGAAUACAUUAGCAUGGAAUAAUGGAAGAGGACCUCGGUCCUAUUUUGUUGGUUUCUGGGGCCGAAGUAAUGAUUAAGAGGGACAGUUGGGGGCAUUCGUAUUUAAUUGUCAGAGGUGAAAUUCUCGGAUUUAUGAAAGACGAACAACUGCGAAAGCAUUUGCCAAGGAUGUUUUCAUUGA
rnacentral:rRNA from 1 species